rnacentral:rRNA from 1 species
UACGUAGGGGGCAAGCGUUGUCCGGAAUUAUUGGGCGUAAAGAGCGUGUAGGCGGCCAGAUAAGUCCGCUGUGAAAUCUCGAGGCUCAACUUCGAGCUGUCGGUGGAAACUGUCUGGCUAGAGUCCGGAAGAGGAGAAUGGAAUUCCUGGUGUAGCGGUGAAAUGCGCAGAUAUCAGGAAGAACACCCGUGGCGAAGGCGGUUCUCUGGGACGGUACUGACGCUGAGGCGCGAAAGCGUGGGUAGCAAACAGG